rnacentral:tRNA from 1 species
GAGGGUAUAGCUUAGUGGUGGAGUCCUUGCUUAGCAUGUACAAGGUCCUGGGUUCAAUUCCCAGUACCUCCA